UCGCCCUUUUCCGGUUGAUCCUGCCGGACCCGACUGCUAUCGGAUUGAGAUUUAGCCAUGCGAGUUGAACGUCCCUUGAUUGCAGGGGGCGUAGCAUACGGCUCAGUAACACGUAGUCAACCUGCCCUGGAGACGCGGAUAACCCCGGGAAACUGGGACCAAUCCGUGAUAGGUCGCCCCAUCUGGAAGGAGGGGCGGCCCAAAGGGGAAUUGUGGGCUUCCACUUUUCUCGCUCUAGGAUGGGACUGCGGCCGAUCAGGCUGUUGGCGGGGUAAUGGCCCACCAAACCUGUAACCGGUACGGGCCUUGAGAGAGGUGGCCCGGAGAUGGACACUGAGACAAGGGUCCAGGUCCUACGGGGCGCAGCAGGCGCGAAACCUUCGCAAUGUGCGAAAGCAUGACGAGGUUAAUCCGAGUGGCUUCCGCUGAGGAAGUCUUUUGCCGACUGUAAAAAGGUCGGAGAAUAAGGGGAGGGCAAGUCUGGUGUCAGCCGCCGCGGUAAUACCAGCUCCUCGAGUGGUCGGGGCGAUUAUUGGGCCUAAAGCAUCCGUAGCCGGUUCCGUAGGUCUCCUGCAAAAUCCAGUCGCUCAACGAUUGGCCCGCAGGAGAUACCGCGGGACUAGGAGGCGGGAGAGGUGGACGGUACUCCACGUGUAGGGGUAAAAUCCUUUGAUCCGUGGAAGACCACCAGUGGCGAAGGCGGUCCACCAGAACGCGCUCGACGGUGAGGGAUGAAAGCUGGGGGAGCGAACCGGAUUAGAUACCCGGGUAGUCCCAGCCGUAAACGAUGCUAGCUAGAUGAUCCGAUCGUAAAUCAUGAUCGGAGUGUCGCAGGGAAGCCGUUAAGCUAGCCGCCUGGGGAGUACGGUCGCAAGACUGAAACUUAAAGGAAUUGGCGGGGGAGCACCACAAGGGGUGAAGCCUGCGGUUCAAUUGGAGUCAACGCCAGGAAACUUACCAGGAGAGACAGCAGAUUGAGGGUCAGACUGAAGAUCUUACCUGACGAGCUGAGAGGAGGUGCAUGGCCGUCGCCAGCUCGUGCCGUGAGGCGUCCUGUUAAGUCAGGCAACGAGCGAGACCCAAAGGGCGAGGGCGAA
rnacentral:rRNA from 2 species